CAGCACCUGAAAAGGUACAAGGUUUUGCC
rnacentral:piRNA from 1 species